CAGCCAGGGCACAUUUGUCCAUUUUUAAGGCAUUAAACUGAGAAGAACCACUGAGGAAAGCAUGCCACGGUCUUUCCCAAAAUCCCUGUGCCUUAAGGAACAACCAAGAAGUUAACUGGUCAGGGAAAAGAUUUCUUUUGGGAUUUCAGAAGCCAUCGCUGUGUGCAGAAAUCCAUGACCUGCCCAUGACUUCUACAACCCGGAGGACUUGCCUGACAUUACUGAAAUGCACAGGGGACAGAUUCUGUGGCAGGUGCCGCAUUUUAUCCAGCUCACUCGUGCUAGUUCCUAAGACAUCUUAAUUCUUACACGUACGCAUAAUCGUGAUAUUUUGCCAUGAAUUACAAUAUGUUCCACAAUUAUCGACCAUUUUAAUUUUUAGCUUUCUAACCUGGGACUACUAUAAUAAAAAGAAUUAAUAAAUCCAAAAGUAGUAGUGGAAAAAAAAAAA